rnacentral:rRNA from 1 species
UACGUAUGGGGCAAGCGUUAUCCGGAUUUACUGGGUGUAAAGGGAGCGCAGGCGGCCUGGCAAGCCUGAUGUGAAAUACCGGGGCCCAAUCCCGGGGCUGCAUUGGGAACUGCCAGGCUGGAGUGCCGGAGAGGCAGGCGGAAUUCCUAGUGUAGCGGUGAAAUGCGUAGAUAUUAGGAGGAACACCAGUGGCGAAGGCGGCCUGCUGGACGGUGACUGACGCUGAGGCUCGAAAGCGUGGGGGGCAAACAGG